rnacentral:rRNA from 1 species
CCUACGGGUGGCAGCAGUCGGGAAUAUUGCGCAAUGGACGAAAGUCUGACGCAGUGACGCCGCGUGCAGGAAGAAGGUUUUCGGAUUGUAAACUGUCUUAUACAGGGGAGAAAAAAGACAGUACUUGUAGAAUAAGCUCCGGCUAACUACGUGCCAGCAGCCGCGGUACUACGGAGGGAGCCAGCGUUAUCCGGAUUUAUUGGGGGUAAAGGGUGCGUAGACGGAGAAGCAAGUUAGUUGGGAAAUCCCUCGGCUUAACUGAGGAACUGCAACUGAAACUACUUCCCUUGAGUACUGGAGAGGAAGGCGGAAUUCGUAGUGUAGCGGUGAAAUGCGUAGAUAUCAGGAGGAACACCAAUGGCGAAGGCGACUUUCUGGACAGUAACUGACGCUGAGGCACGAAAGUGUGGGGAGCAAACAGGAUUAGAUACCCGAGUAGUC